rnacentral:rRNA from 1 species
GACGAACGCUGGCGGCGUGCUUAACACAUGCAAGUCGAGCGGAAAGGCCCCUUCGGGGGUACUCGAGCGGCGAACGGGUGAGUAUCACGUGAGUAAUCUGCCCUUGGCUUCGGGAUAGCUUCGGGAAACCGAAAUUAAUACCGGAUACGACGCGGUCUCGCCUGAGAUCCGUGUGGAAAGUUUUUUCGGCCCGGGAUGUGCUGGGGGCCUAUCAGCUUGUUGGUGGGGUAACGGCCUACCAAGGCUGCGAUCCGUAGCUGGUCUGAGAGGACGAUCAGCCACACUGGGACUGAGACACGGCCCAGACUCCUACGGGAGGCAGCAGUGGGGAAUCUUGCGCAAUGGGCGAAAGCCUGACGCAGCGACGCCGCGUGGGGGAAGAAGGCCUUCGGGUUGUAAACCUCUUUCAGGAGGGACGAAGCCACUCGGGUUAAUAGCCCAGAGGGUGACGGUACCUCCAGAAGAAGCCCCGGCUAACUACGUGCCAGCCGCCGCCGUAAAAC